ACACGACUACAUUAGAUACCCGUGUAGUCCCAGCCGUAAACGAUGCGCGUUAGGUGUAUCGGUGACCACGAGUCACCGAGGUGCCGAAGGGAAACCGUGAAACGUGCCGCCUGGGAAGUACGGUCGCAAGGCUGAAACUUAAAGGAAUUGGCGGGGAGCACCACAACGGGUGGAGCCUGCGGUUUAAUUGGAUUCAACGCCGGAAAUCUUACCGGGACCGACAGCAACAUGAAGGCCAAGCUGAAGACUUUGCCGGAUUAGCUG
rnacentral:rRNA from 1 species